rnacentral:hammerhead_ribozyme from 1 species
AUCCAACUGACGAGUUCCAAUCAGGACGGAAUACGCAUUCUGGAU